rnacentral:tRNA from 1 species
UUCAUUCUGUCCCUGUAGCGCAAUGGAUAGCGCGUUGAACUUCUAAUCCAAAGGUCGUGGGUUCGAAUCCCACCUGUGAAU